UGGGGAAUAUUGGACAAUGGGGGCAACCCUGAUCCAGCAAUGCCGCGUGAGUGAUGAAGGCCUUCGGGUUGUAAAGCUCUUUUGUUAGGGACGAUAAUGACGGUACCUAACGAAUAAGCCCCGGCUAACUUCGUGCCAGCAGCCGCGGUAAUACGAAGGGGGCUAGCGUUGUUCGGAAUGACUGGGCGUAAAGGGAGCGUAGGCGGUUUGGAACGUUUGGUGUGAAAGUCCUGGGCUUAACCUGGGGACUGCAUUGAAUACGGCCAGACUAGAGGCAUAGAGGGGAAAAUGGAAUUGCGUGUGUAGAGGUGAAAUUCGUAGAUAUACGCAAGAACACCGAUGGCGAAGGCAGUUUUCUGGCUAUGACCUGACGCUAAGGCUCGAAAGCGUGGGGAGCAAACAGG
rnacentral:rRNA from 1 species